GGGAACACAAGCGUUCAGUUGUGUCGACGCCUAGUCGAAGCACUGGUUCAAUAUUGACGCCAGACACGUUGUCCUGUCUAGCACACCCAAUGCUGCCCAACCGGUUUAUCACAAGAUACGACAUGAACACCACGUGAAGCCCCGACGUCCUUUGAACGUUCAAGAAAUGGUUGGGUUUGGUCAAGGGACUGGUAUUGGAUCUGAUAUAUUAUCAUUGUUGUCACACCUUUUCGCUAAAUACGAGGUCUUGAAAAUGCUUGGUAUUGCUCCUUGUGAGGUGUUACCCAACGUUAAUGACGCCUGUCUGUAUAAGUGGUACAUACUUGACACCUAUGGCGAAGGAUGAGCCAGUUAUUUUCGAGUUUGUACUUUGGGUGCAUCUCGUUCCUCGGGUUGCAUUGCGCCCGCGACCCCAUAGGAGUUCCUGGUCUUGUCUCUUCGCCCCCAACCCCGAUAAACUCUAUGUGCCGUGAACGAAUGCUCAUCAGGUCGACAGUUAUUUGACGACGUAAAUCCAUCCAUAUUAACUGGCGCUGCGGCUGCGCUCAAUAGACUUCGUUGGGGAGUCUGAGCCUGAUAGGGUGUACCAGUCCAGCCGGUUAUGUACGGUUGGUAUGCUCUAUGAUAUGGAUCUCCAUCCACCUGUCAGCUAGGGGCAGACCCCAGUGUCUCAACCCUGGGUCUCAGAGGCGGUAACUUCUAGUCAGGCAGCGCGCUAUGUCUGGUUAGGCGACAUGGGUUACCAGGAGCAUCCACAGCCAAAAUGGUUUGCACAUGGAGGUCAUCGCGACCGACUUGUGAGGGGGAAGAAGUGAUGUCCAUGGCGGUUUCAAAUUGAUCUGACGACCCCCGCGUCUUCUGGACACGGAGGGGUUCAUGUGGCCAAAUCCUGUCAGCUAAAUCCUAUCGUUAGCAUCGU